rnacentral:tRNA from 1 species
UCCCUGGUGGCUCAGGGGUAAAGAAUCUGCCUGCAAUGCAGGAGACCCGGGUUCGAUACCUGGGUUGGGAA